AUUGAACGCUGGCGGAAUGCUUUACACAUGCAAGUCGAGCGGCAGCGCGGGGGCAACCCUGGCGGCGAGCGGCGAACGGGUGAGUAACAUAUCGGAACGUACCCCGUCGUGGGGGAUAACACAGCGAAAGCUGUGCUAAUACCGCAUACGACCUGAGGGUGAAAGCGGGGGAUCGCAAGACCUCGCGCGAUGGGAGCGGCCGAUAUCGGAUUAGCUUGUUGGUGAGGUAAAGGCUCACCAAGGCGACGAUCCGUAGCUGGUCUGAGAGGACGACCAGCCACACUGGAACUGAGACACGGUCCAGACUCCUACGGGAGGCAGCAGUGGGGAAUUUUGGACAAUGGGGGGCAACCCUGAUCCAGCCAUUCCGCGUGAGUGAAGAAGGCCUCGGUUGUAAGACUCUUUC
rnacentral:rRNA from 1 species